UAAAAUCAGGGCAAGUGGAUAAUUAGUCAGGACAAGUUACUUUCUUAAAGUCACUUGCCCUGUGGCAAGUGGCUUUUUAAAAAAAAUUUGAACCCCUGAAUGUAUGAUCAAAAAGAUAUUUGUGAAGUAACUAUGAGCUAAACUGAAAAGAAGUCUGAAAGAAAUCAAGCUAUUCACAUCACAGGAUGAUGCUCAAGCAGGCCACUUAAGAUCUUGACGACAGUGUCUAAUUUUGAAUAUCGUUUCAAUGACAGCCUGUUCAAUGUUAGACGUCUUCAUGCUCAUUCAAAGACGCUGAGGAACUGAUUCGCGACCUCCUCUUUUGCUGAUGCUGCUACUCUUAUAGAACAAGGUGACCCUGCAGAACAUUACAUCUGGCUUCGCCCAGCUGUUUGGACUGGCUUAAAAAAGUGGUCUUCCACCAACCUGCACCAUCACAUCAGAUGCCAAACUCGAGAUCGACAAUACACUGGCAAUAGCAAACAGCGCAUGUUGCAGGUUGAACAAGCGAGUUUUGAAGAACAAACAUCUGAGAAGUUUUACAUUUACUGAUGAAAGAAUACAUUGUUUCUUUCUUGGAUGUUCAAUACUUGAAAAGCGGUAUUCCACCCGCAUGACGACUGUCUGUUAAUAAUGAAGUCAUGACCAGACAAUCCAGUCAUAUAGCAUCAAAAGUCUCCUUGAGACACAACCUGAAAAUCACCUCGAGGAAAGUUAAGUCUACAAAACAAGUUGGUCGAUGAAAUGUGUGAUUUUUAUUAUGCAAAGAUUCAUGCAAAAUUAACAUAUGCCUGGAAAGAUAACAUUUUAUAACUUCUAUACAACAUCAAUGUACAAAUGAAGUCAAGUAUAAAUUGAUUUCGACAUUUA